rnacentral:misc_RNA from 1 species
AAUGCGAUAAGUAAUGUGAAUUGCAGAAUUCAGUGAAUCAUCGAAUCUUUGAACGCACCUUGCGCUCCUUGGUAUUCCUUGGAGCAUGCCUGUUUGAGUAUCAUGAAAUCUUCAAAGUAAAUCUUUUGUUAACUCAAUUGGUUUCUACUUUGGUAUUGGAGGUCUUUGCAGCUUCACACCUGCUCCUCUUUGUUCAUUAGCUGGAUCUCAGUGUUAUGCUUGGUUCCACUCGGCGUGAUAAGUUAUCUAUCGCUGAGGACACUGUAAAAGGUGGCCAAGGUAAAUGCAGAUGAACCGCUUCUAAUAGUCCAUUGACUUGGACAAUACUUUUAUUAUCUGAUCUCAAAUCAGGUAGGACUACCCGCUGAACUUAAGC